rnacentral:sRNA from 1 species
GCUGUUAAAGAAACAGAAAUCCAUUUGGUAAGUUUUACCAGAGAUCAUCAUGACUUGGAAAAGCAAUAAUCAAAAGGCAAAAAUAAUUAAUAUAUUGCUGGGCAUGGUGGCACAUGCCUGUAUUUCACUGGCUUGGGAUGCUGAGACAGGAGGAUCACAAGUUCAAAGCCAGCUUCAGCAACUGAAUGAGGCCCUAAAGCAACUUAUUGAGAUCCAGUCUUGUAAUAAAAAAAUAAUAAAAAGGGCUGAGGAUGUGGCUAAGUGGUUAAGCACCCCUGGGUUCAACUCCCAGU